rnacentral:rRNA from 1 species
GCAGUCGAGCGAACAGAGAAGGAGCUUGCUCCUUUGACGUUAGCGGCGGACGGGUGAGUAACACGUGGGCAACCUACCUUAUAGUUUGGGAUAACUCCGGGAAACCGGGGCUAAUACCGAAUAAUCUGUUUCACCUCAUGGUGAAAUAUUGAAAGACGGUUUCGGCUGUCGCUAUAGGAUGGGCCCGCGGCGCAUUAACUAGUUGGUGAGGUAACGGCUCACCAAGGCGACGAUGCGUAGCCGACCUGAGAGGGUGAUCGGCCACACUGGGACUGAAACACGGCCCAGACUCCUACGGGAGGCAGCAGUAGGGAAUCUUCCACAAUGGGCGAAAGCCUGAUGGAGCAACGCCGCGUGAGUGAAGAAGGAUUUCGGUUCGUAAAACUCUGUUGUAAGGGAAGAACAAGUACAGUAGUAACUGGCUGUACCUUGACGGUACCUUAUUAAAAAGCCACGGCUAACUACGUGCCAGCAGCCGCGGUAAUACGUAGGUGGCAAGCGUUGUCCGGAAUUAUUGGGCGUAAAGCGCGCGCAGGUGGUUUCUUAAGUCUGAUGUGAAAGCCCACGGCUCAACCGUGGAGGGUCAUUGGAAACUGGGAGACUUGAGUGCAGAAGA